rnacentral:rRNA from 1 species
GGGUCAGUAGGUUGGUCGUGCCACCGGUACGUACUGGUCUCACUGAUUCCUCCUUCCUGAAGAACCGUAAUGCCAUUAAUUUGGUGUUGCGGGGAAACAGGACUGUUACUUUGAAAAAAUGUGAGUGUUUAAAGCAAGCUAACGCUUGAAUACAUUAGCAUGGAAUAAUGAAAUAGGACGAUCGAUCCUAUUUUGUUGGUUUCUAGGAUUGACGUA